rnacentral:rRNA from 1 species
UUCCUGUACUGCUGUAUAUCAGAACUGUGGGGACACAGAGGGAAAGCACAGGCGCGGAACGGAAAGCCGCGUGCAAGCGAGGUACCGGACUGGUAGGAAAAACCGCCAGUCAACGGGAAGGCGUGAUGCGUACCGAAAUCAAGUAGGGAAGUGUGUGAGCCAGCUGUCAAGAAAAGCCGCUAUUGCGUAUACAGUACCCGUACCGUAAACCGACACAGGUGGAUGAGGAGAGAAUCCUAAGGCCGGCGGAAGAAGUAUUGUCAAGGAACUCGGCAAAAUGACCCUGUAACUUCGGGAGAAAGGGUGCCUCGAAAGAGGCCGCAGAGAAUUGGCCCAAGCAACUGUUUAGCAAAAACACAGGUCUAUGCGAAACCGAAAGGUGAGGUAUAUGGGCUGACGCCUGCCCGGUGCUGGAAGGUUAAGGGGAGAUGUUAGAGCAAUCGAAGCAUUGAACUUAAGCCCCAGUAAACGGCGGCCGUAACAAUAACGGUCCUAAGGUAGCGAAAUUCCUUGUCGGGUAAGUUCCGACCCGCACGAAAGGCGUAAUGAUUUGGGCGCUGUCUCGACAAUACAUCCGGUGAAAUUGAAGUACCAGUGAAGAUGCUGGUUACCCGCGCCAGGACGGAAAGACCCCAUGAGCUUUACUCCAGCUUGAUACUGGGAUUCGGUAUUGCAUGUACAGGAUAGGUGGGAGGCUAAGAAGCAUGGACGCCAGUCUAUGUGGAGCCGCUGUUGGGAUACCACCCUUGCGGUAUUGGAUUUCUAACCAGCCGCCGUGAAACCGGCGGUGGGACAAUGUCAGGCGGGGAGUUUGACUGGGGCGGUCGCCUCCGAAAGGGUAUCGGAGGCGCCCAAAGGUUCCCUCAGAAUGGUUGGGAACCAUUCGAAGAGUGCAAAGGCAGAAGGGAGCUUGACUGUGACACCGACGGGUGGAGCAGGUACGAAAGUAGGGCUUAGUGAUCCGGUGGUAUUAAGUGGGAAUGCCAUCGCUCAACGGAUAAAAGCUACCCUGGGAUAACAGGCUUAUCACUCCCAAGAGUUCACAUCGACGGAGUGGUUUGGCACCUCGAUGUCGGCUCAUCGCAUCCUGGGGCUGUAGUAGGUCCCAAGGGUUGGGCUGUUCGCCCAUUAAAGCGGUACGCGAGCUGGGUUCAGAACGUCGUGAGACAGUUCGGUCCCUAUCCGGCGUGGGCGCAGGAUAUUUGAGAGGAGCUGUCCUUAGUACGAGAGGACCGGGAUGGACUGACCUCUGGUGCACCGGUUGUUCCGCCAGGAGCAUAGCCGGGUAGCCAAGUCGGGAAGGGAUAAACGCUGAAGGCAUCUAAGCGUGAAGCCCCCCUCAAGAUGAGAUAUCCCAUGCGAAAGCGAUAAGACCCCUUGAAGACGACGAGGUAGAUAGGUCAGAGGUGGAAGCACAGCAAUGUGUGGAGCUGACUGAUACUAAUAGGUCGAAGGCUUAACCAA